rnacentral:rRNA from 1 species
CAGGCCUAACACAUGCAAGUCGGACGCCCCGCAAGGGGACUGGCGCAAGGGUGAGUAAGGCGACGGUAACCAACCCCGCGAUUGGGGAUAGCCGGGGGAAACCUCGGGUAAUACCCAGCGACGUGGCGUGCCGGCAUCGGCAUGCCACCAAAGAUCCGUCGUCGCGGGACGGGCCGUCGUGGUAUUAGCUUGUUGGCGGGGUGACGGCCCACCAAGGCUGUGAUGCGUACCGGGCGUGCGAGCGUGGCCCGGCACACUGGGACUGAGACACUGCCCAGACUCCUACGGGAGGCUGCAGUCGAGAAUCUUCGGCAAUGGGCGCCAGCCUGACCGAGCGACGCCGCGUGGAGGACGAAGGCCUUCGGGUUGUAAACUCCUGUCGAGGGGGAGGAAGGCGUGAGAUUGACCGAUCGCUGGAGGAAGCACGGGCUAACUUCGUGCCAGCAGCCGCGGUGAU